rnacentral:rRNA from 1 species
GAUGAACGCUGGCGGCGUGCCUAAUACAUGCAAGUCGAGCGAACAGACGAGGAGCUUGCUCCUUUGACGUUAGCGGCGGACGGGUGAGUAACACGUGGAUAACCUACCUAUAAGACUGGGAUAACUUCGGGAAACCGGAGCUAAUACCGGAUAAUAUAUUGAACCGCAUGGUUCAAUAGUGAAAGACGGUUUUGCUGUCACUUAUAGAUGGAUCCGCGCCGCAUUAGCUAGUUGGUAAGGUAACGGCUUACCAAGGCAACGAUGCGUAGCCGACCUGAGAGGGUGAUCGGCCACACUGGAACUGAGACACGGUCCAGACUCCUACGGGAGGCAGCAGUAGGGAAUCUUCCGCAAUGGGCGAAAGCCUGACGGAGCAACGCCGCGUGAGUGAUGAAGGUCUUCGGAUCGUAUAACUCUGUUAUUAGGGAAGAACAAAUGUGUAAGUAACUAUGCACGUCUUGACGGUACCUAAUCAGAAAGCCACGGCUAACUACGUG